AAAAUGCGUAUACACAGAUCAUUGGAUUUGGUGACACCUCCAUUCGUUAGUACGUCAUCCUGUGAGUCAAUCAACAGACAAUGCCCAAACGGAGAGUCCGGCGUAGGGACAAAGAAAACCUCCGUUUUCAUUUGCGUCAAAGGUAGACCUCUAUGUGUUAGACAGCAGAGCGAAACCUUGGAGAUGGAAUCUAAUCACGUCAAGACUGUUACCUGUAUACACUUAGGGAUGGAAAGUCUUCAACGUCACACAAACGGUGUCCAAGUGGAUUUGCAGGAUUCGCAACAGCGAGGAGAAUAAUGGGAUUCAGCCACGCCGCAACACCUGACAGUCCGAAGGUAUCGCCUCAAGACAGCAGGAGCAGGCGGAAAUGCGCAGCACCAAGCGGAUCCCCCUCUUUGUGGACUUCGAGGUAAUCGCCUGGGCUGGCUGGAUCAUUUCUCCACGGGGUGCUUACUACUGCAAGAGCUCCUGUCCGUUCCCACUCGGAAAGAGUUUCCGUGCCACGAAUCACGCGACUGUGCAGUCUGUCAUGCACGCUCUAAAGCUCUCCAAUGAGGAGGAAAACGUGGUUCUGAAACAGUAUGACGAUAUGGUUUCGUUUUGAACAGCUUUCAGAAAUCUUGGUUGAAUUGAAAAUAUUAACAGUAUGUCCAGUGAUUCAUGUAUAAAUUGUUUUUGUAA